CUCCCAAGGAAUUACAGGCAUGAGCCACCACAUCCUGCCGGACACUCCCCUCAGAUGCAUCCUCCAAACUGAGAAAAACUGAUUUCCCAAAACUUAAACUGGUUGGCUUAGAAUUGAGGUCAGGGGAAGGGAAUCCAGAAGCCUGACAUGCUGGCAAAAGGAUAGACUCCUAAGGAAAUGAAAGAGAAGACAGGAGACAAAUUGUUUGGAAAAGCUAAGUCUUCCCUCUUAAUGAGCAAAGGUUUUUACCUGGUUUAAAAAUUUUUGUGACAUUAUUUUGGCAAAAUAACUAACUGAUGGUAAUCUGGAAUUCUGUUUCAUAGCAUCAAGUGUUUUAAUCCACUAACAUAUUUAAUAGGCUUCUCAAAAUCAAAUUUUGGCUUCAAGGUUGUCCUUCCUGAUCCCUAGUUUUUGGAUGCUACAGAGGGCCCUUGAAGCAUCCAAAGAGGGUAAAAAGGAUUACCUGAUGUCUUUAGGUAUAUGGGAUUGCCAAAAUGAUGUUUAAUCUUCAGGUUAUAUUUUAGUGAGUAAUAAUAAUAUCUGUUCCAAAAUAGUAUAGGAUUUAAAAAAUUCUAAUGUCUGAGUAUUUGUUAUCAGUCACAAUUAAGGUUGUUAUAUUUGGUCAUACAGAGAUAACCAAAUUUCUUUGUCAAUUAUGUUUUUGACUGUAACUACCCUGGAAAUUUUGUUAUCCAUAGACAAUUGUUGUCCUGUUUUGAUCCUCUUUAAAAGUGGUUUAUAAUAAGCUAUAGAACUUUGACAGGUGCUCUCAAAUGCAGGUUUCUGAUAACUUUGUAAAUUGUGACAUUGGAAUAAAGGAAAAACAUACAGGACUCAUGAAGAACUGAAAUGUUUAGAAAUAUCAAUACAAGAGUUAACUGAAUUGACUAAACUAAUAGAAAACUGAAGUAAUCUUUUUUUAAACUUUUGCUUAAAACAUUGCUGAUCUUUG